rnacentral:rRNA from 1 species
AUGUCUUCUUCUAGCUCCCGCGCCACCUCGCGGAUCCAGAGUCUGGCGUGCUUGGAGAUGCCUAUGUUCCUCGGUCCGCAGUGUCGGGCGGAGGUUGAUUGGAGGGUUUCGUGCACACCGAGGAACCAUAAUUGUCCAUUCUACAUGUGCAGCGAGAAUGGGGUGAAAUGUUUCUUCCUUUGGGUCGAUGCUCUGGCCAAGAAUCAGAUGAAAGAACUGCUAGAGGAGCAUGAAGAAUGGUUGCCCAUCCUGCCAUGAACGGCAACGACCGAAGCACGAGCUCCAGAAGAAGAGAUGGAGGGCAGAGCGCGCAAUGAUAGAGAGGUAGAUGUUGAACUUAGGAGGUUGAACCAGAAGAUUAGGAAGCUCGAAGAUCAAGCACAAAUACCCAUUUGCAAUUACAUUUGGACAUUUGUAAGUAUGGUAAUCGCACUAGGUGUAAUGUUGAAAUUGUAUGGAAAGGCAUGA